GAUCAGAAAGUAACUCUGCUAUUAAAACUCUUCACAAUUGAUGCAAAAAAUAACUACCAGGAAAUACAUCCAGUUUGAUAACAGGUGUUUAUGAGGGAGCACCAGCACAGAGGACUCUUUGCAUAAAACAAAUUUAUUAUUGGUUAAACAUGUAUCCAUGAAUUCUUCUUCUGUAAUUGCAUUUAUACAUUGCUGGAUGUCUGUGGACUGUGCCAUCCUUGGAUUUUUCAGACUAGAAAGGAGGCAUCAGUAUUGACAGUCAAUUACUGUGAAUUACUGUGUAGGUCACAUAGCCCAGCAAAAAUAUAUUAAGUAACAGUUGACAUGACUUAAUAUGUGCUUUUUUUUUGAGUGGAUCAGAACCUUGAAAAUGGGUAUUAGAGUCCAGAGAUUGACAAUUCACAUAAAUUUAAACCUGAGGGGUGCAUUCAGCCCUAUUCUGAGGUGUUUUAGCUGAGGAUGAUUCUGUCGGUGCAGAGAUCUGGGAGGCUCUGCCCAGCUUUCAUCUUCCCUGUGCUAACUCAGCUACUGCAGUGCCCAGGAAACACCCAAGGGACAGUCACAGGGCUCUGCUUGUCAUUUUUGUUGCCAUUUAGAAGCUGCUUCCCACUGUGGUGGAAGAAGAUCCCAGGAAAUCGUCUCUCCUUUCCUUCUUUGUCGGGAAAGGUAUUCCCCCAAAGCUGCAGGUGGAACAAGGAGAGCUGGAGAGGAGAAUGGUGUCAUCACCUGAGGGGAAACACAAAGCAGAAAGAAACGAGGAGGGGAAAUUUUGGUGCUUAUUUUUAGACUCCGUGGUGUGGCAGCAAAAUCCAUUAAAAAUAAAUCUGGAUGGGCAUUCCCUCAUGUGGCUGAGACCAGUGCAUGGAGCCCAUCUCUGGACACCAGGAACAACCUCCUGGACACCAGGAACAAACUCCUGGAUACCAGGAACAGAGCUGGACACCAGAACAACCUCCUGGACACCAGGAACAGAGCUGGACACCAGGAACAAUGUUCUGGACACCCCAUUAUUGGCAGAUGUCUGUGGGAACCAAGUGUCAGCAACAGUAGCUGAAGCCUUUUAGAAGCAGUCUUUUCUUGCUUGCUUUUCCUAGAACUAAAAUAAAAUGAGAACAGGAUCUGUUGCCUGGCCUAUCUCCAGAGAAAUUUCAUGGACUUUAUUAAUCAAUUAUAUAAGGAAGAUCAUUGGGCAAUGGGCAGAAAUGACAAAGCAUCUCUGAACUUGCUGAGUUUUUCUAAGCAGCCCUUUUAAGGACCUCAUUGUUUUUCCUGCUGAGGGAGAAGAGUCUUCACAGAGGCAAUUUAAGGCAGUAGCUCCUUGUGAUGAGAAGGAAUGAAAGCAUGCCAUGAAAACUUGGUUUUGGUAGGUAACACAUGACAAAACUGUCUUGUUCCUGGUGCUAAACAUGACCCGCUCCACUGUUUCCUCUUGUAACACACUGCUCUUGGUAUAGCACAUGUACAGCUCUACUAAAGGAAGUCGUGGUGGUUUGAUUUGCUAAAAAUGGCCUUUCCAACCUGGGGAAGAACCAGGAAUUCAGUUCUGAACUUUCACAAUUCCAUCAAUCCACAUGUAUUUGUAAUUGUAACUGAUCAAAAUGUCAAUGAUCUGGGUAGAGUAAGCAGGGAAGGAGGGCAUGAAAAAGAUUAAAUAUGGAUAAACUGCAGGUGAAUUCUAAACAUACACAACUCCAGUAUGGGUAAGACUGAACAUCUAAAAGAAACAUUGAUGUCAUUAGUCAUGGAGCUUUUCUAGGUAUGAGCAAAAAUGAAAGGCAGCACAAAUCUGUGUCACACACCUCUCAUUUGCAUGGCUUCUUUAACCUGGAUGUGUUCCCCAUGGAGCUUCUGGGCUAGCCCAAAAUAAUCUGCAUGGAUCCAAACAGACUUAAUUUUCUGUGUGUAAGGAGACUGAACUUGGCAUUUCUGAAUCUUGCUAAGCUUUUCUUUUUAGGCUUAAACACAGGAAAGACUUCAAACCUAAUUUCUCAGCUUAUCGUGCAAAUAAUAUUCUGAAUCUUGCAGGAUCAUAACUUUUUGUAUAAAGCUUUCCAGCUGUUUUCUGUUGAUAAAAGGCUUUAGCUGGGCACCAGGAGAUAAGACUGUGGGACUGAGAAAUUGCUGACUUAUUCUUGUAAUCUUCCAGCCUGGCAUUCCCAUAGGGAAGUUAUGGAUAGGUGUAACUCUGCACAAGUUAAUGUUCUAAUCCUUGAAUCCCACUCAAUGGCUCAGCCACUGAAUUUGAUGGAAAUUCUGGGCACCUGACACGUUUCAGCAUUCAGUUUUAUACAGAGACUUUAAAUUCCUGGCAGAUUGUCAGUGUGGAGCUCAAACUGAUUCACUUGGGGCUGUUCCUCUGGAUUUGAGAAUGUCGUGUUCUGAGAGCAAACCUGGCUGGGAACUUCAGUGGCACCCUUUGGAAGGACUCUGAACUUCCAGGCUCCAGAUCAGGAAAAACUGUCAGGAUCAAACAUGAUUUAUAGCAUG
rnacentral:lncRNA from 1 species